rnacentral:hammerhead_ribozyme from 1 species
GCAUAGCUGAGGAGUCCUAUAAUAGGACGAAACGGCCUUCCAGUGC